CUGACGAGUGGCGGACGGGUGAGUAAUGCUUGGGAAUCUGGCUUAUGGAGGGGGAUAACGACGGGAAACUGUCGCUAAUACCGCGUAUUAUCGGAAGAUGAAAGUGCGGGACUGAGAGGCCGCAUGCCAUAGGAUGAGCCCAAGUGGGAUUAGGUAGUUGGUGGGGUAAAUGCCUACCAAGCCUGCGAUCUCUAGCUGGUCUGAGAGGAUGACCAGCCACACUGGAACUGAGACACGGUCCAGACUCCUACGGGAGGCAGCAGUGGGGAAUAUUGCGCAAUGGGGGGAACCCUGACGCAGCCAUGCCGCGUGAAUGAAGAAGGCCUUAGGGUUGUAAAGUUCUUUCGGUAUUGAGGAAGGUUGAUGUGUUAAUAGCACAUCAAAUUGACGUUAAAUACAGAAGAAGCACCGGCUAACUCCGUGCCAGCAGCCGCGGUAAUACGGAGGGUGCGAGCGUUAAUCGGAAUAACUGGGCGUAAAGGGCACGCAGGCGGUUAUUUAAGUGAGGUGUGAAAGCCCCGGGCUUAACCUGGGAAUUGCAUUUCAGACUGGGUAACUAGAGUACUUUAGGGAGGGGUAGAAUUCCACGUGUAGCGGU
rnacentral:rRNA from 1 species